GAACUAUAGAGUUUGAUCCUGGCUCAGAUUGAACGCUGGCGGCAUGCCUUACACAUGCAAGUCGAACGGCAGCACGGGAGCAAUCCUGGUGGCGAGUGGCGAACGGGUGAGUAAUACAUCGGAACG
rnacentral:rRNA from 1 species